GGCUACAAUCUCAUUUCCUUACUGACUUCUCAUAUCUUCUAAUUUCUCUCCUUAUUCUGGAAUUCUCUUCUCUGGAUUUGCUCUGUCUUUCGCUCCUUUCUCCUUUCCAGUUCAGUCCACAUCAUUUUAUCAUUAUUUUUUGUUGACAUGAGUGUUCUACUGCACGAGAUGCUUACAGCGGUUCAACAACCACUGGGUACUUGUUUUUUGGCAUUCGAACAAGCGUUGGCUGAACUGAGUCAUCUUUCUCUAGAGACCAGGUGAUGGAUAAAAAUGGAGAUUUCCAGUUUAGCCAGGUUGAUUCCAGGACACAUUCGCGGUCCACUGCCAAAUCCCAGAAAGCUGAAAGGCCUCAAAGGUGCCUGCAUUUGAAAAUAAUGAAACAUUUCUAACUGUGCAUUUUCAGAGACAAAUCUGAUCAUCAACUUAUUGGGCUUAGCUUACAUCAAAUCUGGAGGGAUCAAAUUUCUCAGGAUUCGGGAAAAUUACUGGGUCAUGAUGAAUAGAAACCACAUCCAGGUUUAACGACCAACCUUUCUUUAUUUUGCAUCCUGGAGUGGAAUUUUAUAUAUAAUUUAGUACCAUAAAAGUUACAUAUUUCUGAUGAAAGUCUAGUCUUCUGAGUUAUGUAUACCAUUAAUCUCAAAAUCUUCAGCAGCUUUUCUGGAAAACCAAGGCAGAAUUGUUGCUUUACGAAGAGUUUCACUGAUCACCUGAAAUUCGUUGUCGGAAAAUAUCAAUAAUCAGUCUCAAUAGAUUAUUACUUAUUCUAGGAGCAAAUAUCUAUUGUUAUUCUGAUAUUUACUUUGGCAGUGUAAGGCAUAUUGUUAACUUCAGACCAGGUAAGAGUUGUACCAUCCUCUCUGUUUGAUUGUAUUUCCUGGUGUUCCCUCUGCAAAUCAGCCAGUGAAUUUUAGUUCAACAUCUCAAGGAAACUAAUUGAAAAUUUCAGGAAAUUGUGAAGUCAAUAUUACUCUGAGCUGUUCCAAAACAGCAGGGUUUUCUUCCAGGAAUUUAAUCAGCCAUGUGAGAGCAGCCGUUGUGGUGUCAUGACCGGCAACUAGUAGAGUCAAUAUAUUGUCCUUCAAUUGUUUAUCAGUGAGUUUAUCUUCAAUAUCAUCUCUGUCUGCUGUUUUGGUAUGUUUGAUUAUCAGGGACUCCAGGAAAUCAUCCUGGCUUCUGCCACUUCUCCUAUCGGAAAUUAUAGAAUUCAACAUGGCAUACAUUCUAUCCCGAGCCUGAAACAGAAAAACUUGUAUUAGAGAAAUUUAAUGUAAAAUUCUACUGAAGUUGUCAAGAAGUAUUACCUCAAUGCCACGCUUGAAAGCUGUUCCAGGGAGCUUUAAUGGCAAGGAAGCAAACGAGGAAGAAAUGAGUUUAAAAUUGGCCCGAAACUUUUCCUGCUCCUUACCGGCCAUCAACUGAGAGGGGCUCGCCAAUCAGCCGCCGCAGUCGUUUGUGUGCUUCUCCGCUGGUUUGAAGCAAGCUGGUUGGGCCAAGAACUUGCUGCCCUGUGUAAAAAAGGUUCAAACUCACCAUCCCAUCUUUCCCUGUUAGCAAAAUUUUGCUUGCUUCUCUCCCAGUCAUGAACACAGUGAACCUCCCCAACACAAAAGUCUUGAACACUUUCCCGUACCUGAGAGAUAACAUUUCAUUAUUCCAUCAAAUAAAAUAUUCCUGAUGGGCUAGCAAAAUCAGAUAAAAAUGAGAAGCUUUCACCAACAAUAGGCCACCCCAAGCUCCCUGGAAUGUGCUCCAUUUUUUUCGGUGUUGUGGCCCAUGAACUCAACAAGAACAAACCUGAAAGAACCAAUGUGGCUAAAAGCACCACCAUCAGUAAGAUGCUGAUUACUUCCAUUCUUAAUCACUGAGUGAUCAAUCAAAUGAUAAAACUUGGCUGCUUUUGUAUUGUUUUCUUGUUAUUUCUCUUGCUAUUUAACCUGAAAUUAGGCUGGCCACAUGGGAACAAAGGUACCCAACGUGAGACAUAAGACUUAGCUAUUUACUAUGAUGGCUGACAAAACAGUAUAUCUAGAUUCAUUCUUAGUUUAAUUUUUUAUAUGGGAUGGAGAUACCGACGACCUUUCCUUGUUCACAAAGCUUUGUAUGAUUGGAUAACAUUCCCUUUGUUUGUUGACUUCCAUGAAAAGAACAAAAAUCUGAAGCCGGCAUCUUUAUUCCUUGUC